rnacentral:tRNA from 1 species
GCCUGUAGCUCAGUUGGUCAGAGCACCGGACUUUUAAUCCGGGUGUCCAGGGUUCGAAUCCCUGCGGGC